rnacentral:rRNA from 1 species
UACGUAGGUGGCAAGCGUUGUCCGGAAUCAUUGGGCGUAAAGGGUGCGUAGGCGGCUCUUUAAGUGGGGCGUGAAAUCCCCAGGCUUAACCUGGGAGCUGCGCUCCAAACUGGAGAGCUAGAGUGCAGGAGAGGAAAGUGGAAUUCCCAGUGUAGCGGUGAAAUGCGUAGAGAUUGGGAGGAACACCAGUGGCGAAGGCGACUUUCUGGACUGUAACUGACGCUGAGGCACGAAAGCGUGGGGAGCAAACAGG